rnacentral:rRNA from 1 species
GGGCCCGCACAAGCGGUGGAGCAUGUGGUUUAAUUCGAUGCAACGCGAAAAACCUUACCACCCCUUGACAUCCUGCGAAGUUACCAGAGAUGGUUUCGUGCCUUCGGGAGCGCAGAGACAGGUGCUGCAUGGCUGUCGUCAGCUCGUGUUGUGAAAUGUUGGUUAAGUCCCGUAACGAGCGCAACCCUUGUCCUUAGUUGCUAACAUUUAGUUGAGAACUCUAAGGAGACUGCCGGUGACAAACCGGAGGAAGGUGGGGACGACGUCAAGUCAUCAUGGCCCUUACGGGGUGGGCUACACACGUGGCUACAAUGGGGAGUACAGAGGGUUUGCCAAGCCGCGAGGUG